ensembl:lncRNA
GUAUAACACCUUCCUCUCUUCAGAUAAACAGUUCCAUCUGAGCUAUAGCAGCUUACUGAUCCAUGAAGGUCUUACGAAAAUGUAAGUGGCUCAGAGUGCAGUAAGGACAACUACAAAAACUACAUACAGCAAGCACUGAGAAACAGUGGCUGCUUCUCCUGGGGAGUGGACCAAGUUAUUACACCUACAGAAAAAGAAGACCUUGUGCUCCCACAGAUUGAGAAUUCAGCUGCUGAAUGGAUGGACUUCUACGGGUCAGAACUGAAGCUUGGGAUAGAGGGCUGCAGUUUGGAAUCUGCUGCAUCUCAUCAAGGCUCGGCUUGCCAGUGCUGUACUGUACUUCAUUAGGCAGCUCUAUUUAAUGGUUUCAACAAAAGCCAUCAUUUUAGCCCAACUGCCUUGACUAAAUUAAAAUUUCCAAUCUCUGUUUUAGUGUUCUGCAACUGAUGUAUACAUAAGCAAAACUGGUCAACAUCUGCCAGGGGGUUGGCCAAAAGUUCUGUAAAGAUGUACUUCACAUUUCUGAAGCAUGUGCAAAGUAACAACGUACUUAUCCUCCUGAGGGCUCUCAUGAUUUUACUUCACCAUUUGUUCAGACACACUUUAGCAGCAUAUAAGCCAUACAGUUGAUUCUCCCCUUGGUUGCAGUUUUAUCUGUAGUGUCAUUUUGAGUAAUUGGGGUAUGGUAGCUGAUCAACUUUCAGGUUUCUCAUUGGCAGAAAGGGACUGUAUUGGCACCAAGAAAGAAUAUGAUGGGUCCUCUCGGUGCCUGAGCAAGUGUCCCUCUUUUGCACUUGGCUACCCAAGGCCAUUAGAAAAUAAGCUUAAUAAAGCAACUCAGUGUAUACAUCUUAACUAUUCCCAGCCAAGGGGAUGCAGCUAUAGAAGAAAUAUUUUAAACCAAUAUGAAAGAUGGUAAAUGUACAUAUUUAGUCAGUGAUCUGUGAAAGUUUUUGAAUUAGUUUUUAAAGCUUUGUUAAGACCAGAAUGCACAGAUGUUGAAAACAAGUUCAGAUGUAGCGACAGAUGGUAUUUGAUUAUGAAGCAGACUGUUCAUAUAAUACAAAGAUGCUGCUUCUGCCAUACACAAGUAACUGCAGAGAGUGCAGUAGAAAUUUUGGAAGGCAGAACAGUUCAAGAGGUUCUUUGUGCGGCAAUAACUUUCACGUUUUUCCAGCAGUGCUUAGAAUUGGGAUAAUUUUCUUUCUUGUGCAG